rnacentral:rRNA from 1 species
ACGGGUGAGUAACACGUGGGUGAUCUGCCCUGUACUUCGGGAUAAGCCUGGGAAACUGGGUCUAAUACCGGAUAUGGCCUCCUAUCGCAUGGUGGGUGGUGGAAAGAUUUAUCGGUGCAGGAUGGGCCCGCGGCCUAUCAGCUUGUUGGUGGGGUAAUGGCCUACCAAGGCGACGACGGGUAGCCGACCUGAGAGGGUGACCGGCCACACUGGGACUGAGACACGGCCCAGACUCCUACGGGAGGCAGCAGUGGGGAAUAUUGCACAAUGGGCGAAAGCCUGAUGCAGCGACGCCGCGUGAGGGAUGACGGCCUUCGGGUUGUAAACCUCUUUCAGCAGGGACGAAGCGCAAGUGACGGUACCUGCAGAAGAAGCACCGGCUAACUACGUGCCAGCAGCCGCGGUAAUACGUAGGGUGCAAGCGUUGUCCGGAAUUACUGGGCGUAAAGAGUUCGUAGGCGGUUUGUCGCGUCGUUUGUGAAAACCAGCAGCUCAACUGCUGGCUUGCAGGCGAUACGGGCAGACUUGAGUACUGCAGGGGAGACUGGAAUUCCUGGUGUAGCGGUGAAAUGCGCAGA